CCUACGGGUGGCAGCAGUGGGGAAUAUUGGACAAUGGGCGAAAGCCUGAUCCAGCCAUGCCGCGUGUGUGAAGAAGGCCUUCGGGUUGUAAAGCACUUUCAGUGGGGAAGAAAGCCUUGGGGCUAAUACCCUCGAGGAAGGACAUCACCCACAGAAGAAGCACCGGCUAACUCCGUGCCAGCAGCCGCGGUAAUACGGAGGGUGCGAGCGUUAAUCGGAAUUACUGGGCGUAAAGCGCGCGUAGGCGGUCUGAUAAGCCGGUUGUGAAAGCCCCGGGCUCAACCUGGGAACGGCAUCCGGAACUGUCAGGCUAGAGUGCAGGAGAGGAAGGUAGAAUUCCCGGUGUAGCGGUGAAAUGCGUAGAGAUCGGGAGGAAUACCAGUGGCGAAGGCGGCCUUCUGGACUGACACUGACGCUGAGGUGCGAAAGCGUGGGUAGCAAACAGGAUAAGAUACCCUUGUAGUC
rnacentral:rRNA from 1 species